GGUCCCGUAGUGUAGCGGUUAUCACGUCGCCCUGUCACGGCGAAGAUCGCGGGUUCUGAUUCCCGUCGGGACCG
rnacentral:tRNA from 1 species